GACGAACGCUGGCGGCGUGCUUAACACAUGCAAGUCGAACGGUGAAGCGCUUUCCUUUUUGGUGGGUGUGGAUGAGCGGCGAACGGGUGAGUAACACGUGAGUAACCUGCCCCCUUCUUCUGGAUAACCGCAUGAAAGUGUGGCUAAUACGGGAUAUUCUGGGUCUGUCGCAUGAUGGGUCUGGGAAAGAUAUUGUUUCGGUGGGGGAUGGGCUCGCGGCCUAUCAGCUUGUUGGUGGGGUGAUGGCCUACCAAGGCGGUGACGGGUAGCCGGCCUGAGAGGGUGGACGGUCACACUGGGACUGAGACACGGCCCAGACUCCUACGGGAGGCAGCAGUGGGGAAUAGUGCACAAUGGGCGCAAGCCUGAUGCAGCGACGCCGCGUGAGGGAUGGAGGCCUUCGGGUUGUGAACCUCUUUCGCCAGUGAAGCAGGCCUGCCUCGUUUGUGGGUGGGUUGACGGUAGCUGGAUAAGAAGCGCCGGCUAACUACGUG
rnacentral:rRNA from 1 species